rnacentral:snRNA from 1 species
AUGCUCGCUUCAGCACAUAUACUAAAAUUGGAACAAUGCAGAGAAGAUUAGCACGGUCCCCGCACAAGGAUGACAGGCAAAUCCGUUAAGUGUUCCAUAUUUUC